rnacentral:rRNA from 1 species
GUGUUGUUGGGUAGGGGAGCGUUCUGUAAGCCUGCGAAGGUGACCUGUGAGGGUUGCUGGAGGUAUCAGAAGUGCGAAUGCUGACAUAAGUAACGAUAAAGCGGGUGAAAAGCCCGCUCGCCGGAAGACCAAGGGUUCCUGUCCAACGUUAAUCGGGGCAGGGUGAGUCGACCCCUAAGGCGAGGCCGAAAGGCGUAGUCGAUGGGAAACAGGUUAAUAUUCCUGUACUUGGUGUUACUGCGAAGGGGGGACGGAGAAGGCUAUGUUAGCCGGGCGACGGUUGUCCCGGUUUAAGCAUGUAGGCUGAUUGUCCAGGCAAAUCCGGAUAAUCAAGGCUGAGGUGUGAUGACGAGGCACUACGGUGCUGAAGUAACAAAUGC